rnacentral:rRNA from 1 species
CACGUAGGGUGCAAGCGUUAAUCGGAAUUACUGGGCGUAAAGCGUGCGCAGGCGGCUUUGCAAGACAGAUGUGAAAUCCCCGGGCUCAACCUGGGAACUGCAUUUGUGACUGCAUGGCUAGAGUACGGUAGAGGGGGAUGGAAUUCCGCGUGUAGCAGUGAAAUGCGUAGAUAUGCGGAGGAACACCGAUGGCGAAGGCAAUCCCCUGGACCUGUACUGACGCUCAUGCACGAAAGCGUGGGGAGCAAACAGG